GAUGAACGCUGGCGGCGUGCCUAAUACAUGCAAGUCGAGCGAACGGACGAGAAGCUUGCUUCUCUGAUGUUAGCGGCGGACGGGUGAGUAGCACGUGGAUAACCUACCUAUAAGACUGGGAUAACUUCGGGAAACCGGAGCUAAUACCGGAUAAUAUUUUGAACCGCAUGGUUCAAAAGUGAAAGACGGUCUUGCUGUCACUUAUAGAUGGAUCCGCGCUGCAUUAGCUAGUUGGUAAGGUAACGGCUUACCAAGGCAACGAUGCAUAGCCGACCUGAGAGGGUGAUCGGCCACACUGGAACUGAGACACGGUCCAGACUCCUACGGGAGGCAGCAGUAGGGAAUCUUCCGCAAUGGGCGAAGGCCUGACGGAGCAACGCCGCGUGAGUGAUGAAGGUCUUCGGAUCGUAAAACUCUGUUAUUAGGGAAGAACAUAUGUGUAAGUAACUGUGCACAUCUUGACGGUACCUAAUCAGAAAGCCACGGCUAACUACGUG
rnacentral:rRNA from 1 species